rnacentral:rRNA from 1 species
AUUAAACGCUGGCGGCAGGCCUAACACAUGCAAGUCGAGCGGAUGAAGGGAGCUUGCUCCUGGAUUCAGCGGCGGACGGGUGAGUAAUGCCUAGGAAUCUGCCUGGUAGUGGGGGAUAACGUCCGGAAACGGGCGCUAAUACCGCAUACGUCCUGAGGGAGAAAGUGGGGGAUCUUCGGACCUCACGCUAUCAGAUGAGCCUAGGUCGGAUUAGCUAGUUGGUGGGGUAAAGGCCUACCAAGGCGACGAUCCGUAACUGGUCUGAGAGGAUGAUCAGUCACACUGGAACUGAGACACGGUCCAGACUCCUACGGGAGGCAGCUGUGGGGAAUAUUGGACAAUGGGCGAAAGCCUGAUCCAGCCAUGCCGCGUGUGUGAAGAAGGUCUUCGGAUUGUAAAGCACUUUAAGUUGGGAGGAAGGGCAGUAAGUUAAUACCUUGCUGUUUUGACGUUACCAACAGAAUAAGCACCGGCUAACUUCGUG